UACAGAGGUCUCAAGCGUUGUUCGGAUUCAUUGGGCGUAAAGGGUGUGUAGGUGGCGCCGUAAGUCGGGUGUGAAAUUUCGGAGCUUAACUCCGAAACUGCAUUCGAUACUGCGGUGCUUGAGGACUGGAGAGGAGACUGGAAUUCAUGGUGUAGCAGUGAAAUGCGUAGAGAUCAUGAGGAAGACCAGUGGCGAAGGCGGCAUCCUGGACCAAUAUUGACGCUGAGGAGCGAAAGCCAGGGGAGCAAACGGG
rnacentral:rRNA from 1 species